rnacentral:misc_RNA from 1 species
GAGGAGGACGCCGAAGGUGGGGCUAAUGACUGGGGUGAAGUCGUACAAGGUAGCCGUACCGGAAGGUGCGGCUGGAUCACCUCCUAACAGGGAGACAAAACUGAUUAUGAUGUCUGAUUUUUUCUUAUCAGGCCGUAAUCCUGUCACCUUAGGUCGAUCGGUAUCUCAGUUUGAUUAUUUAAAAAUUGAUAAAUUCAAAUUUUAAAAAUAUCGAAUUUAGUUCCUAAACUUCGUCUAGGUCACACCCAACAAGGGUACUCCUGGGCCAUUAGCUCAGGUGGUUAGAGCGCACCCCUGAUAAGGGUGAGGUCCCUGGUUCAAGUCCAGGAUGGCCCAUUCCGUGUUUGGGGGUAUAGCUCAGUUGGUAGAGCGCCUGCUUUGCAAGCAGGAUGUCAGCGGUUCGAGUCCGCUUACCUCCACUGAACCUCCUGACACUGAAAACCUAAGGGGUUUUUGUUGGCUGAUCUAGAUUUGUUCUUGAAUGAAUGAUCCUAGCUUCCUAUUUAAAAAGACUUUAAUUAACUUUUUGGCUUUUAAAUAAGACGCUGGGUUCACUGCAAUUUAUUUUGUAGUUAACUUCAGCAGAACCUUGACAACUGCAUAGUGAGUCUGGAAAGAAUAAAGCAUCUCAUGGAUGCAUUAAUCUUGUAGAUUGAGCUUCCUAAAUAAUAUAGGAAUAUUUUCAACUGCAAGUUAAUGUUUGAUUCUUGAGUUAAGAGUCAGACUCUAUAAAGAUCUUUCAUGGCAGAAAUUCCAUGAGAGUUAAAUCUCUGAAUUUCCUUUAUUUAAGGGAAAUCAGAGAAAAACUUGUUGAAAAACAAUUUCUUUGUAGAGAAUUAAAUGGUCAAGCUAGAA